rnacentral:misc_RNA from 1 species
GAAUGAAGAACGUAGCGAAAUGCGAUAAGUAGUGUGAAUUGCAGAAUUCAGUGAAUCAUCGAAUCUUUGAACGCACAUUGCGCCCCUUGGUAUUCCAUGGGGCAUGCCUGUUCGAGCGUCAUUUGUACCUUCAAGCCUUGCUUGGUGUUGGGUGUUUGUCUCGCCUCUGCGCGCAGACUCGCCUCAAAACAAUUGGCAGCCGGCGUAUUGAUUUCGGAGCGCAGUACAUCUCGCGCUUUGCACUCAGAACGACGACGUCCAAAAGUACAUUUUUACACUCUUGACCUCGGAUCAGGUAGGGAUACCCGCUGAACUUAAGCAUAUCAAUAGCGGAGA